rnacentral:rRNA from 1 species
CACGUAGGGGGCAAGCGUUGUCCGGAAUUAUUGGGCGUAAAGAGCGUGUAGGCGGUUAUACAGGUCCGCUGUGAAAACUGGAGGCUUAACCUCCAGACGUCGGUGGAAACCGUAUAACUAGAGUCCGGAAGAGGAGAGUGGAAUUCCUGGUGUAGCGGUGAAAUGCGCAGAUAUCAGGAAGAACACCAGUGGCGAAGGCGGCUCUCUGGGACGGUACUGACGCUGAGACGCGAAAGCGUGGGGAGCGAACAGG